rnacentral:rRNA from 1 species
CCUAGGGGAGGCAGCAGUGGGGAAUAUUGGACAAUGGGGGCAACCCUGAUCCAGCCAUGCCGCGUGUGUGAAGAAGGCCCUCGGGUUGUAAAGCACUUUCAGUGAGGAAGAACGCCUGGUGGUUAAUACCCAUCAGGAAAGACAUCACUCACAGAAGAAGCACCGGCUAACUCCGUGCCAGCAGCCGCGGUAAUACGGAGGGUGCGAGCGUUAAUCGGAAUUACUGGGCGUAAAGCGCGCGUAGGUGGCUUGAUAAGCCGGUUGUGAAAGCCCCGGGCUCAACCUGGGAACGGCAUCCGGAACUGUCAAGCUAGAGUGCAGGAGAGGAAGGUAGAAUUCCCGGUGUAGCGGUGAAAUGCGUAGAGAUCGGGAGGAAUACCAGUGGCGAAGGCGGCCUUCUGGACUGACACUGACACUGAGGUGCGAAAGCGUGGGUAGCAAACAGGAUUAGAUACCCCUGUAGUC